rnacentral:rRNA from 1 species
GACGAACGCUGGCGGCGUGCCUAAUACAUGCAAGUUGAGCGCUGAAGGUUGGUUCUUGUACCGACUGGAUGAGCAGCGAACGGGUGAGUAACGCGUGGGGAAUCUGCCUUUGAGCGGGGGACAACAUUUGGAAACGAAUGCUAAUACCGCAUAAAAACUUUAAACACAAGUUUUAAGUUUGAAAGAUGCAAUUGCAUCACUCAAAGAUGAUCCCGCGUUGUAUUAGCUAGUUGGUGAGGUAAAGGCUCACCAAGGCGAUGAUACAUAGCCGACCUGAGAGGGUGAGCGGCCACAUUGGGACUGAGACACGGCCCAAACUCCUACGGGAGGCAGCAGUAGGGAUUCUUCGGCAAUGGACGAAAGUCUGACCGAGCAACGCCGCGUGAGUGAAGAAGGUUUUCGGAUCGUAAAACUCUGUUGGUAGAGAAGAACGUUGGUGAGAGUGGAAAGCUCAUCAAGUGACGGUAACUACCCAGAAAGGGACGGCUAACUACGUG